ensembl:ncRNA asRNA:CR44137 antisense RNA:CR44137
CCGAUCCAGGCGCUGUUCCCGAGGAACCCGCUCCCAAAACCGCAUUCGGCUGGGGGGCAGGACGCUUGUUGUGCCGCAACGGUGCAGUGGGUGGCAUCUGGUGACCGGUGGUCUGCAGGAACCAUGGAUCACCAGCCGUGCUGCCCGUUGCCGCUGCAGCGGCCACCGUCACCGAGGGCUGCGAGAAUCCGCGAUGGUGUCCGACGACCGUGGUUUGUCCGUUCUGCGUGGCAGUCGCGUGGCUGUUCAUAGCCUGGCCGGUCGUCGUGGUUGCCGUCUGCUUCCUCAGCAAUCCCUGCUUGAUCUCAACGGUGAUCAGAUCACCCUCGCCGGACGCCUUUCUCGAGAUCGCUUCCUUCUCCUUAUGGUUUUCCUCCGGCUUCGGCUUGGGCUUCUGGCUCUUCUCGUGGCUAGUCUUCCUGGCUUGUGCCUCCUCGUCUGCAAACAAAAAACCAAAAUGUGUACAAACAUUAGUCUUUUUCAGUGUUCAGCUUUAUCAAUUGAUGAUGUUAUUUUUAUAGGCUGAUAAUAGGAGGCAAAAAAGCAUCUAAUCUUAUCACAGCAAUCAGCUGGCCAAAUAUGUAAUUUGUUUUAUCACCCGCACACAAUUAUCAAUGGGAUUAUAUGGAUAUUUUCUCCAUUUCUGACAUAACUUGGCAAUUUGAAUAUCGAAAUUGUCACGAUAUCGAUAUCAGACAAAAUAGACGCAUUCACCGCCGAUUGAGCUGUUUUUUGCCGUAUAACCAGCCAAAUCAGUUCCCGUGAUCGGAUGAAGGCCAAACUCACGUUUAUUUAAUCAGUCAGUCAAGUCAGUGGACAAAUAACAACGAUUGCAUAAGCGGCGACUUGGAUGCGCAAUGCUAAUUGUUGGUCAACACACUCAAAAACGCAGUUCAGUGACUCAAAUGGACACAAAUGGCAUGUUAAUCGGGUGAACCGCGCGAAUCCGCUCGCCAAAUGUAAAGCAUUCGCAUGUGACGGGCAUAAUUAAACCCAUUUUAUUGGGCACUUUCAGGCUUUGGGCUACUACUGUGUGCCUGGACACGACUAUGUAUUUAGGAUGAGUCAGUUCCAUGUCGCUUUAAUUCUACCCGCGCAUCUGUACACGCAAAGAAAUUGAAAGAAAAUUGGCUUAAAUCAAAUGAAGGAUUCGCAUCACUUUCAUCCGUAAAUGUCUGUAUUUGUGAAUUUGAAUUUCAAAUGAAGUGCAAUAAAAUCAGUUUGUGCGCUAAGUGCUAC